UCAGACGAUGCGUCAUGCAUAUCAAUAAGCGGAGGAAAAGAAACUAACAAGGAUUCCCUUAGUAACGGCGAGUGAAGCGGGAAGAGCUCAAAUUUGAAAUCUUCAUAGGUUUUACCUUGACGAAUUGUAGUUUAAAGGAAGUGUUUUCUGCUGAAGUUUUGGUAAAAGUUCUUUGGAAUAGGACAUCAUAGAGGGUGAGAAUCCCGUAUUUGACCAUUAUUUUCAGCUUUGUGAUACACUUUCAAAGAGUCGGAUUGUUUGGGAAUGCAGUCCAAAAUGGGAUGGUAAAUUUCUAUCUAAAGGCUAAAUAUUGGCGAGAGACCGAUAGCGAACAAGUACCGUGAGGGAAAGAUGAAAAGAACUUUGAAAAGAGAGUUAAACUAGUACGUGAAAUUGUCAAAAGGGAAGCGUUUAACACCAGUGUUGUUUUCUCGAAAAUCAAUUAAAAAUGGCUCAAUUUUGUAUUGCUUGAGACCUUAAAAGCUCACUGUACAUUUUUCGUGUCUUUUUUAAUGCACUUUUCGUUUAACAAGUCAACAUCAGUUUCUUUUGUUGUGAAAGGGUCAUUGGAAGGUGGCUUUCUUUUCGGAGAAAGUGUUUAUAGCCUUUGGCCUCUGCAAUCGGAGAGACUGAGGUCUGCAGCGUAGACUCUUCGGGGUUAGAUACAUUUGUGCUAAGUUAUAGCUUUUUAUAGACAACUUGUUGACUAUAAUUGGUCUUGUAGCUUACUCGCUUAUGCUAUUUUACCUACGCUUAGGAUGUUGACUGAUAUGUAGUCGUA
rnacentral:rRNA from 1 species